UGGGGUAAUGAUAAUUAACCAAAGGUAGGAGGACUCAAUGAUUGAGAAGGUACAUUCAUAAAUUUGAUUGAUGAGAUAAUCAUAAGUCAAUAGUCAUAGUACAUAUGUUAUUUCUAUGAUCAAUUAUUCUGUAAAAGCUUAUUCUGCAGCUGGCUUAUUGGCAGCAUGUUUACAUGCAACACUCUGAUUUUGAUUCUUUAACUCAUCUCCAGCUACCAGA
rnacentral:misc_RNA from 1 species